UCCAAGAUAAGGUUUCCCACCGGGUUAACCGGGUAAGGGCCCUGCUAGACAAGCAGGUUGAUAGGCCGGAGGUGUAAGAGGAGCAAUCCUUUGAGCUGACCGGUACUAAUAGCCCGAGGGCUUGUUCACCUAUAAC
rnacentral:rRNA from 1 species